rnacentral:sRNA from 1 species
ACCAUUGAUAGUAAGCUGCAAUUCAGCAC